UGCAUUUACACAACUGAACUGAUAUAAAGAAGUCAAAACAUUGAAAGAACUUCAGGCACUCAGGGACUUCAUAGCACAUCAUAAGAUAUCAACAUCAACUGAAUUUAUUAUCUUACUCUGAGUCCAAACAAUACCUGACCGGAAAGACACGACAGAAGUCCAAAUUUGCCAAAAUUAAAUAUGAAGGUUGAAGCAAUUCAGUUAAACUUCUGACUCUUCUUUUUCCUUUUCCUUCAAAAUGCUGGAGACUUUGCAUUUUCUGGCAAAAAGUCGCCUAGUGACACAGAAUUCCCUUCACAGGUGUACUUUAGGCAAAUGUUUGUUCCAACUGGCUGCUAGAUGGAGAGCUGAGAAGGGAGAAGAUGUGUGA
rnacentral:lncRNA from 1 species